UACUCUUGUGACCUGUUCCUCUCUGGGGGUCACCCUGCCAGGCUUCCUGGGAGAAGGGUGGGACAAGGGAAGCUGCCACUUUGUCUUUUGGUCUCAAGACAGCCCCAGCUUCAACAGGGCACAGCAGCAGCUGCUGGAACUUGUCCCCGCAGUGCGGGUAGUGGCACAGGGUGUAAUCGAGCAAGGCGGCAUUGGCCUUCUCUUGAGCAUCCUUCACCAGGCUGUGGUUGUUCAGGAACUUCACAUCUGCAAGGGGAGGAGCUCUGUCACGAUCACCAGCCCAUCACAUCAUCAACGGUCACUGGCAACAUGAGCGCCAACAUCCCCAUCAGCACCAAAGACGGGGCACUGCCGUCAACGAUGCAGUCUUCCAAUCGCCACGGCUGAGGAACACCGCCACUUUCAUCAAUCACCGAUAUUGACGGCCCCGGCUUUCUCCCAAACUCGGCCACUGCCACCAUCACCCACCCAACCACCAUCACCUGUCACCAUCAUUACUGCCACUGUCAUCAUCACAUUGGUCAUGAUGAACGCCCUCAUCGUCUCCAAAACCACACCAACAUCACCAGCUGUAUCCCUGGGCGUGUUAUUCGACUUCUCAAUUUCCUACAGAACGGUGACAACAGCACCUAGUUCACAAGACUGUUGGGAGAAUUUGGGGACUUGACAGGUGGAAAAUGCUUGGAGGACAGCGUCCGGCACGUAACAAGACCAAUUUGUUACCAUUGCUAUCUCUACUCUCACCCCACCAUGAUCAACACCAUCCCCAUCGCCGGGUCAAAACCUUCCCGUCGCCAUCAUCCCCAUCGUGGCCACCAUCAGCAACAUCACCAGACAGGCACACUGUAAUUGCAAGGGUCCCAUCUCCCAGCCUCCAGGCACAUGCACUGGUGGCCCUAUUCUAGACAGCGACAGGCACUCCUGUGACCAAUCAAGAAGCUCCAGAACCCCAAGGAGAUUCUCUCCUGGGGCCCCUGGGGGGACAUGGAUGUUCACUGCAGCAGCAUUUAUGGAGGUGGCCUGGAUGGCUGUGUGGUGGCCGCACCACAGGGAGUCCUGUGCAGUAGAAGUAAUGGAGCAGACAGAAAAAAUGGACAGAUCUUUAAAAGCAUAGGGCUAAGUGGAAAAAAAAACAGAGAAGGAAGAUCCAGAAUGAGAUCUACAAGACAGAGCCAUCUACAUAAAUUAAAAGUACUUGUACAGAG